ACUACGGGAGGCAGCAGUGGGGGAUAUUGCACAAUGGGGGGAACCCUGAUGCAGCGACGCCGCGGGGGUGAAGAAGCGCCUCGGCGCGUAAAGCCCUGUCAGCAGGGAAGAAAAUGACGGUACCUGAAGAAGAAGCCCCGGCUAACUACGUGCCAGCAGCCGCGGUAAUACGUAGGGGGCAAGCGUUAUCCGGAUUUACUGGGUGUAAAGGGGGCGCAGACGGCGAUGCAAGCCAGGAGGGAAAGCCCGGGGCCCAACCCCGGGACUGCUCUUGGAACUGCGUGGCGGGAGUGCAGGAGGGGCAGGCGGAAUUCCUGGUGUAGCGGUGAAAUGCGUAGAUAUCAGGAGGAACACCGGUGGCGAAGGCGGCCUGCUGGACUGCAACUGACGUUGAGGCCCGAAAGCGUGGGGAGCAAACAGGAUUAGAUACCCUGGUAGUC
rnacentral:rRNA from 1 species